rnacentral:rRNA from 1 species
CCUACGGGGGGCAGCAGUCGAGAAUUAUUCACAAUGGGGGAAACCCUGAUGGUGCGACGCCGCGUGGGGGAAUGAAGGUCUUCGGAUUGUAAACCCCUGUCAUGUGGGAGCAAAUUAAAAAGAUAGUACCACAAGAGGAAGAGACGGCUAACUCUGUGCCAGCAGCCGCGGUAAUACAGAGGUCUCAAGCGUUGUUCGGAAUCACUGGGCGUAAAGCGUGGGUAGGCUGUUUCGUAAGUCGUGUGUGAAAGGCGCGGGCUCAACCCGCGGACGGCACAUGAUACUGCAAGACUAGAGUAGUGGAGGGGGAACCGGAAUUAGCGGAGUAGCAGUGAAAUGCGUAGAUAUC